UACGAAGGGGGCGAGCGUUGUUCGGAAUUACUGGGCGUAAAGGGCGCGCAGGCGGCCCUUGAAGUCAGGCGUGAAAUCUCCGGGCUCAACCUGGAAACUGCCAUUGAUACUAUUAGUCUUGAAUUUUGUUGAGGUAGGCGGAAUAAGUCAUGUAGCGGUGAAAUGCAUAGAUAUCGGGAGGAACACCUGUGGCGAAAGCGGCUCACUGGACCACAACUGACGCUGAUGCACGAAAGCUAGGGGAGCAAACAGG
rnacentral:rRNA from 1 species